rnacentral:lncRNA from 1 species
GGUCCUUCCAAAAAAAAAGGUGGAUACACACAGAACACACACAGAAAAAUGUUUCUAGUCUCAGAGUGGUAGGUCUAAACCAGAUGAAAACGACAAAUAAGUAUGUUUAUCUGUGCUACAAAUAAAGACCAGCUUUCCACCUUUUCCAUGUUAGGUCUGUAAUCAUUUUUUAAAAUUAAUAUCAUAGUCAAAACAUUACAAUAUGUAGAUACAGAAUAAGGAGAAACAGAAAGCCUCAGUCAAAAUCUGAAACACACAUAACUGUUCUAGGGAAUCCAAGAAAACCCAGUAAGUGGGAAAAACCUGUACAAAGGGACUUGAUGCUCUUUAGUCGCUCAGUCGUGGCCAACUCAAAGGUACUUAAAAGUCUAUUAAAUACAUAGAUGGGCUAGCUCUGGUCUCAUCCUUCUGUGUCUGUACGGAAUAAAUAUUUCUGAUUUGGACCUUCAAAGCAUCAUAUUACAGAAUUAUCAUUAUAUGAAAGCAAAGCUCCCUCCUUAGAUGAACACUGGUGGGCUGUGAUUCUG